GGUGCGGUGGUACCAGUGGGGCUGGUUCCGGUAGGGCUGGCAAUGAUGGAUCCGAUGGUACCAGUGGGGCUGGUUCUGAUAGGGCUGGCAAUGAUGGGUUCGGUGGUAGCGGUGGGGCUGUCAAUGAUGGGACUGAAGGUACUGGUUCCAGUGGUGCUGUCGAUGAUGGGGCUGGUGGUACCAGUGGGGCUGGUUCCGGUAGGGCUGGCACUGAUGGAUCCGGUGGUACCAGUGGCGCUGUCAAUGAUGGGACUGAUGGUUCUGGUGGUGCUGUCGAUGAUGGGUCUGGUGGGGUUGGCAAUGAUGGAUCCGGUGGUACCAGUGGAGCUGGUUCUGGUAGGGCUGGCACUGAUGGACCCGGUGGUACCAGUGGAGCUGGCAAUGAUGGGACUGGCGAUACUGGUUCCGGUGGUGCUAUCAGUGAUGGGUCUGAUGGUACUGGUGGUGUUGGUGCUGCUGCCAAUGACGGGCCGGGUGGUACCGGUGGUGCUGAUGGUACCGGUGUCGGUUCUACCGGUGCCAGUCGUGCUGUCAAUGGUGGGACUGGUGGGAUCGGUGGUACCGGUGGUUCUGGUGCCGGCGGUGCUGUGGAUGAUGGGAUCGGUGGUACUGGUACCGGAGGUACUGGUGGUACCGGUGGCGAUGGGAGCAGUGAUGCCGAUGGUACCGGUGGUGGUGGUACUGCCAAUGGUGACACCAGCUGCACCGAUGGUACCGGCAACGGUGGUACCGGUGGUGACGGUACCGAUGGUUCUGAUGACGGUACUGGAGCUGCUACUGCUGGUACAGGCGGUACCGGCGGUGAUGCGAGUGCCGGUAUCGGUGGUACUGGUGCUGAUGGUACUUCCGGUACCGGUGACGAGGGUACACCGGUACUGAUGGUACCGGAGGUGCUCACGGUGGUACCGGUGACAACUGCGGUACCAGCGAUGGCUGCGGUGGUACCAGAGCUGGUUGUGGUGGUACCAGCGGUACCAACAGCGGUAGCACCAGCAAUUCUCCUCUUACUGGUGGCACUGGGGGUGGUGGUACUCCCGGUACCGGUGUUGGUGGUACCGGUGGUGGAUCCGGUGGUACCGGCAGCGCUACCAGCAGCGGUUCCGAUGGUACCGGCGGCGCUGUUACCGCAAUGGCGGUGGCUGCGGCGGUGCCAAUGGUGGCUGUAGCGGUACCGGUGUCGGUUCCGGUGCUGGCCCGGUACCGGGGUUGGUGGUACCGGUGGUGGAUCCGGUGGUACCGGCAGCGCUACCAGCAGCGGUUCCGAUGGUACCGGCGGCGCUGUUACCGCAAUGGCGGUGGCUGCGGCGGUGCCAAUGGUGGCUGUAGC
rnacentral:lncRNA from 1 species